GAUGAACGCUAGCGGCAGGCCUAAUACAUGCAAGUCGAGGGGCAGCGGGAGUAGCAAUACUUGCCGGCGACCGGCGCACGGGUGCGUAACACGUAUACAAUCUACCUUUAACAGGGGGAUAGCCCGGAGAAAUCCGGAUUAAUACCCCAUAACAUCCUGAGGGGCAUCCUUCAGGAUUGAAAGCUUCGGUGGUUAGAGAUGAGUAUGCGCCUGAUUAGUUAGUUGGUGAGGUAACGGCUCACCAAGACUACGAUCAGUAGGGGAUCUGAGAGGA
rnacentral:rRNA from 1 species